GCUGUGCCCAUCAGAACCUGCAGAGCCCUUGAACAGUGAGGGAGGGAAGAAAGAUGAGUAUUUCAGAUCAUCUACUCACUUGGUCUACCCUCUAGUAAUUCAGAGUUGGGUUUUACUAUGAUUUACAAAACUAUGUAACAAGGCAGGAAGAGCAGGAAGCCAAGAGCUGCACUUCAUCCCAGAGGGGGGAUGCUGAAAUACUGAACGAACUACACGCAGGUGUCCAAGCUUCAGGAAAUUCUAAUUGAAACACUGACUGAAAAAUUCCAUCCUACUUGUAUACAUCGAGCUGUUGUUUAAGCCCUUUUUCACAUGCAAUGAGCUCAUAUUCGGAAUGCUUUGACUCAACAUGCAUAAAGGCUUGGCAAAUGCUUUUGGGGAGGAGCACCCUGUCACAGAAAGCAAGAGAAAAACAAGGCUGGGGCUCAGCACAUUCUCUCGGAGCACACAGGCCUUCACGGGCCAGGGUUUCUGUUAUUAAAAAAUCAAAUAGACUCUCUCCUCUCGAUGCAGCACUAAUUCCCAGGUUCCAAUAAGUCAACAGACACUUUUCCCAUGACUUCUGACUACAGAGUGUCUCAAGAAAGUAUAUAUUUUGUAUACUAACACAUGUUCUAAGAGAUAGAAUAAUUAAACACGAACUGCUAUCUGUUUUGGUUAUGUUCAA